rnacentral:rRNA from 1 species
UACGUCGGGGGCAAGCGUUGUCCGGAAUUAUUGGGCGUAAAGAGCGCGUAGGCGGUCCGAUAAGUCGGCUGUGAAAGUCAGGGGCUCAACCCUUGAAAGCCGGCCGAUACUGUCGGACUAGAGUCCGGAAGAGGCAAGUGGAAUUCCCGGUGUAGCGGUGAAAUGCGCAGAUAUCGGGAGGAACACCAAUGGCGAAGGCAGCUUGCUGGGACGGUACUGACGCUGAGGCGCGAAAGCGUGGGGAGCAAACAGG